rnacentral:lncRNA from 1 species
CACCAAGGACUGCACAGCAAAUUCCUCCCACAAGCAGGGUUUAUCGCUCCCUUCCUAGUAGUGACUUAAUCCUUUAAUUCCUUUCAAUGCCAAAAACUAGGAUUUCCUGAGGACUGCCACAGGAUGUGCAGCAAGCAGCAGGGGCCAAGGCUUAACGUUGUUGAUUCAAUAUAAUCAGAAGUUUAAAAAAUGGUUGCUAAUGCACAGCCAGAAACAGAGGGCAUUAAACAAAAGGAAGAAAAGAGGCCAAGUACCUUUGAAAAAAUAAGGAACUGAGCUUGAAAGGGUGCAGACUUACAGUCAGGACAGAAAUCUUUUUUUUGGGGGGAGGGUGCAGUGCCAAGGAUGGAAUCUGAGGCCUAAGACAUGCUAGGCAAGUGCUCUACCACUGAGCCACAUCCUCAGCCUGGGAUAAAAAGUCUUAAUUUGUCCAAAGACUGUUCUACUAUCCUCUGGUGGGGCUGGAACAUAUCACAAGCCAUUGCUGGAGAGAAACAAAGGGAGGAGGAAAUACACUGUGUGCAUCAUGGUCAAGCAUCAAGAUCGACAAAGAUGGAGAAUAAAAUGUGCACACCGGUAAUCUCAGCGGCUCA